rnacentral:rRNA from 1 species
UUUCCUACGGGGGGCUGCAGUCGAGAAUUUUUCUCAAUGGGGGAAACCCUGAAGGAGCGACGCCGCGUGGGGGAUGAAUGGCUUCGGCCCGUAAACCCCUGUCAUUUGCGAUCAAACCUUACGACCUAACACGUCGUAAGCUGAUAGUAGCGGAAGAGGAAGGGACGGCUAACUCUGUGCCAGCAGCCGCGGUAAUACAGAGGUCCCAAGCGUUGUUCGGAUUCACUGGGAGUAAAGGGUGCGGAGGCGGGCGGGUAAGUCUGACGUGAAAUCUUCGGGCUCAACUUGGAAACUGCGUCGGAUACUAUUCGGCUAGAGGAGUGGAGGGGAGACUGGAAUACUUGGUGUAGCAGUGAAAUGCGUAGAUAUCAAGUGGAACACCAGUGGCGAAGGCGAGUCUCUGGACAUUUCCUGACGCUGAGGCACGAAAGCCAGGGGAGCAAACGGGAUUAGAUACCCUGGUAGUCG